UGGCUGAGUGGUAAAGUGCUUGGCUUCUUAACCAAGAGGUCCUUGGUUCAAAUCUUGG
rnacentral:tRNA from 1 species